rnacentral:tRNA from 1 species
GCUGGGAUAGCUCAGUUGGUAGAGCAACGGUUUUGUAAACCGUAGGUCAGGGGUUCGAGUCCCCUUCCCAGCUCCA